AUUCUCACUAAUUGGACCAAUCCAUGUUGUUGGAGCUAUAUUUUUAUUUUUGUUUAUUUUGGGUUUAAGUUAAUUUAUAGCCUUACUUAUUUCUUUUUCUUUUCCUGUUAAAGUUAAUUUGGUGUAUUUUGUAUUCAUGCUUUACUCGUAUUGUCGUUUAUUGGUCACAUGGUGUUAUGUUCAUUUGCAUAAGUAGGUCAAGGUGGGAGGUACUUCAGGCUCGAGGGCAUAUGGUUUUUUACCAGCGUGAGAGAGGCAGCAGAAAUGUCUGUGAGCUUGCUUAUGUGUGUGAAUAAACCGCCUCAAACUCAAUCUUGUUAUGGACAUUACUUUGCUUUGGUACCUCUGAACCUGCGUAAAGCCUAACCAUGACGUAGCCUCGAGUGGCCAUUUGAGAAGUUUGUUAUUAUUUGUUUUUGUUUAAGUUUAUGGACAAAUAGCCACUACAAUAAGUAAAAAACCCGCCCUGGAUAUAUCGUUGGUUUACGUGGAUACUGGACUUGUCGUUUGCUGGAUUACCGUUUCGAAAGUGGAUUACUCACCUGGAUGCGGGAGACAAACAAAGGAAAGGGCCUAGGAGUGACGGAGGUGUGGGCUGGAUACAGUGCAAACAUCGAAUAAUACGACCCAUCCGACAGUGUAAAGUUUCCCUGGACACCGUACUGGAUAACGGUGAAGCUACUGGAGCGCUGGAGCUGCACUACGGAGUGGAGGAUAUUAUUUGCUGCAAUUUGAAUUCGCAAAGGCCCAAAGCCUUCACAGGUAACGCGCACGGCCGCGCGCAACAACAGCUACUGCGUGCAUUCAACUCCGUGUACAAAGGCAACCACCGCAACAAACAAAGUUCCACAAGAGUUGCAGAAAAGGACGUAGUGAAAGCGGACCAAGACCACUCCACCGCCAUGAAGACGGGGGCCUGUGGUAAUCAGAGUCUGGGUGAAGUAUGGCCUCUGCACUGCGUGUCUGGCAGCAAUUAUGGCAGCAAAGGGAAGAGGAUUAAGGUACUAUCCCAUCUCGGCCUUCUAUUAGUGGGAUUGAUGUUGUUGGCCACCCUCCCGUUUGGAGCAAGCAUCAAACAAUCUGU
ensembl:lncRNA